CCUAGCUAUAUAUAUAUAACUCUAAACCUAAGCAAACCUAAUCAGUUUCUAUUUAUCGUCCUCGAACUCGAGCCGCUGCUUCUGUCGGAUUCUCAACCUAAGAAACCUCGUCUUCUUCAUCUGAUUCUCAUAUCUCUUCGAGCACAAGGUUGUGAAACAAUGAUGCCCUACUUGGUUUCGUUGAGCUUACUUCCGAGCUACAACCAGAGACAAUAGCAAUCCACGAAGCUGUCAAAGUUAUACUAGAAGGUCUUCGUGCGGAUAUCAAUUGUGAAGGCAUUAAAAACUCCCUUUCAUGUCGCCAAGGCUCUUCGACAAGGAACCAGAGAGACAGGACUAGACGAUUCGACAAAUUCCAUGAGAAACUUCUCAUUAGAAGUAGAGGUUGGAGUUCAAGCUUCAUGGUGACAUUUAAUUUUUUUAUUGUUUUCAUAUAUUCAUAAUGUUUUAUCUUUUUCGUAGAUUGAGAAAGGAUGAACAAGAUAGAUGUUGGUUUUUUUAUGUUUAUUUUUCUGAUAAAUACGGAUUUUUCAGGUCAUAACCGAAAAAAUAAUAAGUAUAAGUAUCUAGAAAACAGAAGAUAACCGAAAAGACCGAAAAUAACCGAAAAUUCGGUUAUUUAGCAAAUAAUUUUAAAAUCGGUUAUUUUCGGAAAUUAGUUGAAAACCGAAAAUAACCGACUUCCGAACCGAAAUGAACCGAAAUUUAAUUCGGUUAGUUUCAGAAUUGAUUUUCAAAAUUCCGAUUAACCGAAAACUGACUGUUCGGUUUCGGAAAACCGAAAUCGCAGGCCUGCUUUGUAGCUUCAGUGACAUAAAAAAGUUGUCUGCAAAUUCUUUAUAACUAGAUUUUCUAAAUCUUAAAUAUGACUGCUGCUUGGCUUUCUUUGAUAACACUUUUUCUUUUUCAGUAGGAAAGGAUAUAUUAUUUCAGGCCUUGCAAAAACGAAAUAACAAGAAAAAAACAGCACCAGCACUGCAAAAUUGCUCAUGAAACGAUUAGUAUAUCGUUUGGGAAGUAGGUAGAAAGUAGACUCAAAUUCAAUCCCGUCACUUGCUUAUGCUGGAUAAAGGCUGAAGCAGGUCUGAAGCUAAGCCAGGAUGUGUGUAAUGGCAAGGAGAAACUUUGUUAUUGAUAGUGGUGUUAGUAGUUCUGCUGAAUCUUAUAGGUCCGUUCUCCUUUUAUAAGUUCAAGAAGGAUAACAAUCCAAUGAUUUUGUCAUACAAGGUAGAUAUUUUAGAUAAAAUUAGAAAUAUCAAUCCAAUGAGUAUAUUAGGAUAACAAAACCAUUUUGGUUUGUGAGUAUAUUGCUGUUGCCUCACAAAUCGAAUCAUAUUAGGUCUUCUCUCUCUUGCUCCGGUGGUUGGUGGUUCUCACCGCCACCGGGAGCGGCUAAUACUCCGGGGAAAGAGGUUCUCAAAGCUCUUUACCGCCGGCUUUCUGUCUCCGGGAAGGGAUGGUUCCUCUAGCAUCUCUAUAGCCGGCUUUGUGUCUCUGGGAAGGAUGGUUUUUCUAGCAUCUCGAUCACCGGAACUUAUGUUCUUGUGUGGUGAAUUAGUAUUAUUUUGAAGUCGUGGGAAUACUGCUUUUGUUUGGUUCUUGCUGCUUCAGUCACUUCGUCGCAUCCUAAGUUGGUUUUUUGGGUUCGUUUUUUGUGAUUUAUGUUCGCUGUGGAGGUAUCUACUAGACCUUAUAUUUGACCUUUGUGGUUUUGGGAGAUGGUUUCUAGACGAAGCAGUUAACUUGACCUUCAGUUUUUCUCUUGCGAGGAGGUGGGCAGUCUUUGUUCUGUAGGUCACUUGGCUGCCUUGCGAGUGUCCGCGUGUAAGAGCUGGUGGUCUUCUUUGAAGUUUUCGCAAGUAGCGUUUCAAGGUCUUUUGUCCUUGUAUCUUAGUUUUAGUGGUGGUUUUUGGUCAUGCAAGUUUCACAUGGAUAGCAGCUGAUGGAGUAGGUGUAGAUUUGACCUCUCGAUUGUUUCUGAUGUUGCUGGUUCUAGUAUGGCUUGGUGAUAUUCUCUUCAGGGUUGGGACUGCUCAAGACAUUUGUUCUUUAGGUCAGCUCCAUUGAUAUUGAAUUCUUCUGGAAAGGUGGAAGAAAUAGACUUGUAGACAUAUAUGGGUUUUAGGCUCUGUUUAUGUCUUUGUUUUAUUUUGUUUGGUUUAUGUUCUUUGUCUUUGGUUUCUUAUCGAAACAAAUUGUAUUUCUAUCUGACAGUAAUAAAUUAACUUGCAACAAAAUUAUUAAGUAUGUGUCAUAAAAAGUAUGAUAUCCCAUGUAGAAUUUUUAAAAAUAAAUUAUGAUAUGAUUAUUUUCAAUGGUCUUUUCUUUUUAGGACAUCAUUUUGCUCAUAGUAUAAGGUUAAACAAAAUAUUUAAUUUAGAAUAUAAGUAUAAUAAAAAGUAUGUUUAUGAAACUAUCUUAUUAUACAUUAAAAGAAGUAAGUAAGAAUUACUAUUUUAUGAGCCGGAGCUCCAUCAAAAAAAAAAGUAAAACCAAAAUAGGGAUGCAUUGCUUAUUUCUUUUCUAAGAACAUUUACAAUGUAUGUCUCUAUAUUUUUUUAUAAAAUAAAGAUUUCUAUUAUCGAGGUGGAUUUAUUUCGAUGUAAAUUUCUAUAACAUAGUUUUUUAUUUUAAAAGAAAAUAUAGAGAAAUCAUAAUUUUUACCUCUAUAUUUAGAGAUGAAAAUAACAAUUCUCUUUAAUUUCUCCUAUAAAUAGAGGAAUUUUAUUAUAAAGACAUCCAUUGGAUAAAAUCCACGUCUAUAACAUAAUUAUCUAUUUUAAUGAAAAUUAUAGAGAUGAAAACGAGGUGGAUUGGAGAUGGUCCAAAUAUUCAUAUACUUUUUGUUGAAUAAAUUUGUGUUAUUUCAAUAAAUUUAAAAUUUUAGUUACAAAUUUUGAAAUUGUAUCUUCUAAAAUGCAGAAAUAUUUGCUAUAAAAGAUUCAUUUUGUAUCUAAUGAUAUAUAUAUAUAUAUAUAUAUAUAUAUAGUUUAUUUAAACAUGUUUGCUUUUUUUUAAUACAAGUUUAACACUAAAUAAAAUUUAUACUAAUUUAGCCAAAUAAAAAUUAAAUAGAAAAUAACGCUGAGGGAAUUAACUUAGUACUUACAAUAAUUAAGACAAGACAAGUUAAUGCUCAUAGUUGGAUACAAUAUGUGGUAUCGGGUUAUGAGCAAAUGUGAAUCAAUAAAGAAUAUGUGGAAUCUGCUAUGGAGGAGACAAUGGUUCGGAAAUGGAGAUGCGCUCAUUUUGUUUUAUGGUGAUGUUCAUAGUUGAAAAUUGGUGACCGAGAGUGAAAAUGCAUAAGAAAUUAACAGGAUUGAUAUCAUGGUUAUAGCUCGGAGAACACGCAAAGACUCUUCAACAAACACAUCAUCGGAAAUUAUUUUCUUGUGUUGUUGUUAUGUUAUUUUAUUCAUGUAUUUCUGUAUUUUUGUUUGUGAUUUUAUGUAUUGCUACUUUCUAUAAAAAAAAAUAUUUGUUAAGAAAA